rnacentral:rRNA from 1 species
UGGGGAAUAUUGGACAAUGGGCGAAAGCCUGAUCCAGCCAUGCCGCGUGUGUGAAGAAGGUCUUCGGAUUGUAAAGCACUUUAAGUUGGGAGGAAGGGCAGUAAGCGAAUACCUUGCUGUUUUGACGUUACCGACAGAAUAAGCACCGGCUAACUCUGUGCCAGCAGCCGCGGUAAUACAGAGGGUGCAAGCGUUAAUCGGAAUUACUGGGCGUAAAGCGCGCGUAGGUGGUUCGUUAAGUUGAAUGUGAAAGCCCCGGGCUCAACCUGGGAACUGCAGCCAAAACUGGCGAGCUAGAGUAGGGCAGAGGGUGGUGGAAUUUCCUGUGUAGCGGUGAAAUGCGGAGAUAUAGGAAGGAACACCAGUGGCGAAGGCGACCACCUGGGCUCAUACUGACACUGAGGUGCGAAAGCGUGGGGAGCAAACAGG